GUCGAAGGUGGCAAGCGUUGUUCGGAAUCACUGGGCUUAAAGAGCAUGUAGGCGGCUCAUCAAGUGCCGUGUGAAAUCCCCCGGCUCAACCGGGGAAUUGCUUGGCAGACUGAUUGGGCUUGAGGCAGGUAGGGGCGAGUGGAACUCUUGGUGGAGCGGUGGAAUGCGUAGAUAUCAAGAGGAACGCCGGAGGUGAAGACGACUCGCUGGGCCUGUCCUGACGCUGAGAUGCGAAAGCUAGGGGAGCAAACGGG
rnacentral:rRNA from 1 species